rnacentral:sRNA from 1 species
GUCAGGUGUGGUGGUACCUGCCUGUAAUCACAGUUACUUGGGAGACUGAGGCAGGAGGAUCACUUGAGCUCAGGAGUUUGAGAUCAGCCUGGGCUAAUAGCAAGACCCUAUUUCAA